rnacentral:rRNA from 1 species
CUACGGGGGGCACCAGUGGGGAAUAUUGCACAAUGGGCGCAAGCCUGAUGCAGCGACGCCGCGUGAGCGAUGAAGGUUUUCGAAUCGUAAAGCUCUGUCCUCGGGGAAGAUAAUGACGGUACCCGAGAAGAAAGCACCGGCUAAAUACGUGCCAGCAGCCGCGGUAAUACGUAUGGUGCAAGCGUUGUCCGGAAUUACUGGGCGUAAAGAGUUCGUAGGCGGGAAUGUAAGUCAGAAGUGAAAGGCAAUGGCUCAACCAUUGUAAGCUUUUGAAACUGCAUUUCUUGAGUAUCGGAGAGGAAAGUGGAAUUCCUAGUGUAGCGGCGAAAUGCGUAGAUAUUAGGAGGAACACCAGUGGCGAAGGCGACUUUCUGGACGAAAACUGACGCUGAGGAACGAAAGCGUGGGGAGCAAACAGGAUUAGAUACCCCAGUAGUC